AAAAUCCGUCGAUUUAAAAAAUCGUGAGGGUUCAAG
rnacentral:tRNA from 1 species